UCAACAUUCCCUCAGUCCUGAAUUACUUGUCUUACAUUUGUCUAGAUACGGAUGUAUCUACGACACAUUUUAGUGUUAGAUACAUUUGUAUGACAAAUCUAAGACAAGUAUUUUGGGAUGGAGGUAAUACAAG
rnacentral:pre_miRNA from 1 species